AGAACGAACGCUGGCGGCAGGCUUAACACAUGCAAGUCGAACGCCCCGCAAGGGGAGUGGCAGACGGGUGAGUAACGCGUGGGAAUCUACCUGGUUCUACGGAAUAACACAGGGAAACUUGUGCUAAUACCGUAUACGCCCCAAGGGGGAAAGAUUUAUCGGUGCCAGAUGAGCCCGCGUAAGAUUAGCUAGUUGGUGGGGUAAUGGCCUACCAAGGCGACGAUCUUUAGCUGGUCUGAGAGGAUGAUCAGCCACACUGGGACUGAGACACGGCCCAGACUCCUACGGGAGGCAGCAGUGGGGAAUCUUGGACAAUGGGCGAAAGCCUGAUCCGGCAAUAUGGCGUGAGUGAAGAAGGGCAACGCAGCUUGUAAAGCUCUUUCAUCGAGUGUGCGAUUGUGACAAGACUCGAAUAAGAAGCCCCGGCUAACUCCGUGCCAGCAGCCGC
rnacentral:rRNA from 1 species